AAUCAACGCUGGCGGCGUGCCUAACACAUGCAAGUCGAACGAGAAAGUGGAGCAAUCCAUGAGUAAAGUGGCGACCGGGUGAGUAACACGUGACUAACCUACCUUCGAGUGGGGGAUAACCUCGGGAAACCGGGGCUAAUACCGCAUAAUAUCCACGGAUCAAAGGAGCAAUUCGCUUGAAGAGGGGGUCGCGGCUGAUUAGUUAGUUGGCGGGGUAAUGGCCCACCAAGACAAUGAUCGGUAGCCGGCCUGAGAGGGCGCACGGCCACACUGGAACUGAAACACGGUCCAGACUCCUACGGGAGGCAGCAGUGGGGAAUUUUGCGCAAUGGGGGAAACCCUGACGCAGCAACGCCGCGUGGAGGAUGAAGUCCCUUGGGACGUAAACUCCUUUCGACUGGGAAGAUAAUGACGGUACCAGUGGAAGAAGCCCCGGCUAACUUCGUGCCAGCAGCCGCGGUAAUACGAGGGGGGCAAGCGUUGUUCGGAAUUAUUGGGCGUAAAGGGCGCGUAGGCGGUGCGGUAAGUCACCUGUGAAAUCUCCGGGCUCAACUCGGAGCCUGCAGGCGAUACUGCCG
rnacentral:rRNA from 1 species